rnacentral:snRNA from 1 species
AUCGCUUCUCGGCCUUUUGGCUAAGAUCAAGUGUAGAAAAAUAGAAUCUACCAAGAUGAGGUUUUUUUUUUUUAAUGAUUUAAUAUUACAAUCUGUCUGAUACCAGUUACCAUUCGUUUCAGUUUAGCCAAG